rnacentral:rRNA from 1 species
UAUCUGAUUAGCUAGUUGGUGGGGUAAAGGCCUACCAAGGCGACGAUCAGUAGCGGGUCUGAGAGGAUGAUCCGCCACACUGGGACUGAGACACGGCCCAGACUCCUACGGGAGGCAGCAGUGGGGAAUUUUGGACAAUGGGCGCAAGCCUGAUCCAGCCAUGCCGCGUGUCUGAAGAAGGCCUUCGGGUUGUAAAGGACUUUUGUCAGGGAAGAAAAGGGCGGGGUUAAUACCCCUGUCUGAUGACGGUACCUGAAGAAUAAGCACCGGCUAACUACGUGCCAGCAGCCGCGGUAAUACGUAGGGUGCGAGCGUUAAUCGGAAUUACUGGGCGUAAAGCGGGCGCAGACGGUUACUUAAGCAGGAUGUGAAAUCCCCGGGCUCAACCUGGGAACUGCGUUCUGAACUGGGUGACUAGAGUGUGUCAGAGGGAGGUAGAAUUCCACGUGUAGCAGUGAAAUGCGUAGAGAUGUGGAGGAAUACCGAUGGCGAAAGGCAGCCUCCUGGGAUAACACUGACGUUCAUGCCCGAAAGCGUGGGUAGCAACAGGAUUAGAUACCCU